ACCAGCUUUCGGGAGAACCUCCCUUUCUCAAGUCUGAAGCAUUUCUGUCGUCUUGCUCAGAAAUGCUUCAGACUUGAGAAAGGGAGGUUCUCCCGAAAGCUGG
rnacentral:miRNA from 1 species